GGUUCCGGGUGAGGGGCGGGGCCAUGCGGUCACCACGGCGACCGUGAUCCGUCCUGCCCGGGCCCUGAGGGGCGGAGGCCAUCGCCGGGCCAGUAGCGCUGACCUCGCUCCUUCCCUCCCUCCACCUCAUCACCUCCGGCACCAACGCAGCUCUUAGGGAUCCCUUGCUUCGCCUUCCCUUUCCCCUCCGCCCGCUGGAGCAGCACAGCUCUGUGGAGCCCUGCACGUGCUGAAUCCACAGCCUGAUCCAGGUGAAACAUCCCCUUUUUCCCUAGGGUUAUUUUACUAGGCCUGUGUAGCUACCUCAGCAGGUUUGCUGCGGGCUUUGUGGGUACAGACCAUGCUUAUGGGUACAAACCAUACUUCUGGGUGGAACCAAAAGAAGUGUGCAAAAAUGCUGGGGAAAAUUAAUAAUUAAUGACAUUAAUAAUUAAUGACAUUUUUACUAACAAAAAAAAAAAAAUAAAAAGCCAUAAAAAUGUGGACCAGCAGCUUCUGGGUGCUCGUCCUCAUGCCCAUCUUCCUGUGAGUUGUGAUCCAGCACCUAAACAGCCCGUGGUAAUGAUCCUGAUGCACCAGGAGAGGGUUUUCGUGUCCUUCAAAACAAGGCUGUAGGAACGUGAGACUCCGGAUUUAUCUCUCGGCACUAGCUGGGAAAGACACUGUGCCACGGGGAUUCAUCACCCCGCGACUUCCUGGGGAAGAGCCGAGCCAAAGGACAGCGCUGCCGUGGCAGUCGACAGAACAAAUUCACAAAGAAAUGAGCUGAGCCUGGGUCAGGUGUACCCUCUGCAGCUGCCAGGGUAUGUCCUUGUGAGGGUGUGAGUUCCAUCAGAGCCCAUUCCUCUCACAUCCACAUCCCACAGCGAGCACUGGGGCUGCACUCCUGCCUGCUCUGUCCUUGAUGUCCCUGGGAGGGCUCAAUGCCCAGGUGGGCUUUGCCACCCCAACCUCCUCUCUGUGACCCACCAACCGAAGGAAACACUGCCAGAGCUAUUUGCUGCUCUUGCUCCAUCAGUGCAGAUCAUGAUCCCCAUCCCUCAGCUCCUACUGGCAGUGGGGAAGGACAAACACAGUGUCCAGGGCCACCCUUGCCGUUGUCAAAGUCAAGGUGACUUCGCUGCUCGCUUGGUUGCAACCUUUGCUGCAAGAGAGUUUCUGUGGGUGCCAGGGACAGGGUAAGCCUGUGCAGGUGUUGGAGUGAAACCAGGAUCUUGGGCUCUGUGUGCUUUUUCUGGGACUCCCUGUGCUGUUGCUGGCCCGUGGACCAGCUGCACAGCUGUAGCCACAGCGCUGAUCCUGCCUCGACCUCAGGCUCCUCUGCUUCUCCUUCACCACAGACAAGAGGGUUAGAACUUAACUGAGCUUCUCUCUGCCCAUUCCUCGUUUGAGCCACUGCUGAAGAAAAUGCCUGCUCACUGGAUAGGCUUACCUGAAUCCAGCACUGACCUGGCUUGGAGCAGGGGCUGGAGGAAUGACCACCUGAGGUACCUGAGUGCUAAACCUCAGCAGCCCCCCUCCAUGUCUGGGGGUGCUGGACCCCCCAGAGAGCCAGGCCUUCACUGCCCUUACCCACAGCAGCCAAGAACUGGUGGAUCUGGAGUCAGUGGACACAUCUGGACAUCAGGUAGCACAUGCUCCAGUUCCAGAGGCUGAUUCAGAGCUCCUGGGACUGAGGCAAAGCAAACACUUGUCCUGAUACUGUCUGCUUAGCUUAGCUCGCUCUGUGGCAGCAGAUAAGGGGCCACAGCACAAACCAGAAGGUGUGACCAGUACAUCACCCCACUGUCCUGCUGAACAAUUAACUCCGAUUUACCAAAAUUGGAGAUGAAGGGCUGCAAGCUGCUUUUGUCGCCUGCGUAAAUAUUAACCACGGUGUAAAUCAGGAUUAUCUCUCUGACCUCAACACAAUUACUCUGUUUAAAAAAAAAAAGCAACAAAACUGGGGGGCUGAGCAGGGUAUUGCUGAUGAAUUUACAGCUCUGUUUGUGGUCAGGCUGGUUUUCAUGGCGUGGCAAUCACUUGGCACAGCAGGAAGAGCAAGAGGAGAAUUUGCCAGCCCAUGAGGAGAUGCCCCACGUUCUCGCAGCCUGGCGUGCUCCUUUGCUCACCCAAGCACAGUGACACAGGGGACGAGCCUGCCAGGACCAGCUAACGCAGGCCUGGUGCUGUGGAGAUGCUGGGGUGUGAUGCAAUUUUGUCCUGAUCAAAGGUUGCUCCCUGGGCCAGGAUAGGGAGAGGAUCAAAGGGCAACAGAAUCCAGACAAGCCAAGCUGAUUCUCCAGGCUUGGUUCAAUACGUUUAUUUUUUUGGAAGCACUGUGCUUUUUAGGUGUCUGGCUUUAAAGACCGUUUAAUGGUGCUGCUGUCAUGGCCUCUUUA